rnacentral:rRNA from 1 species
AGUGAACGCUGGCGGUAGGCCUAACACAUGCAAGUCGAACGGCAGCACAGUAAGAGCUUGCUCUUACGGGUGGCGAGUGGCGGACGGGUGAGGAAUACAUCGGAAUCUACUUUUUCGUGGGGGAUAACGUAGGGAAACUUACGCUAAUACCGCAUACGACCUACGGGUGAAAGCAGGGGAUCUUCUGACCUUGUGCGAUUGAAUGAGCCGAUGUCGGAUUAGCUAGUUGGCGGGGUAAAGGCCCACCCAGGCGACGAUCCGUAGCUGGUCUGAGAGGAUGAUAGGCCACACUGGAACUGAGACACGGUCCAGACUCCUACGAGAGGCAGCAGUGGGGAAUAUUAGACAAUGGGCGCAAGCCUGAUCCAGCCAUACCGCGUGGGUGAAGAAGGCCUUCGGGUUGUAAAGCCCUUUUGUUGGGAAAGAAAAGCAGCAGGUUAAUACCCCGCUGUUCUGACGGUACCCAAAGAAUAAGCACCGGCUAACUUCGUG